rnacentral:rRNA from 1 species
AAACUUUCAACAACGGAUCUCUUGGUUCUGGCAUCGAUGAAGAACGCAGCGAAAUGCGAUAAGUAAUGUGAAUUGCAGAAUUCAGUGAAUCAUCGAAUCUUUGAACGCACAUUGCGCCCGUUAGUAUUCUAGCGGGCAUGCCUAUCCGAGCGUUAUUG